rnacentral:rRNA from 1 species
CACGCCCUAAACGAUGUCGACUAGGUGUUGGGGAAGGAGACUUCCUUAGUACCGCAGCUAACGCGUGAAGUCGACCGCCUGGGGAGUACGGUCGCAAGAUUAAAACUCAAAGGAAUUGACGGGGACCCGCACAAGCGGUGGAUGAUGUGGAUUAAUUCGACGCAACGCGAAGAACCUUACCUACCCUUGACAUGCCAGGAAGUUGGCCGAGAGGUCGAUGUGCCCGAAAGGGAACCUGGACACAGGUGCUGCAUGGCUGUCGUCAGCUCGUGUCGUGAGAUGUUGGGUUAAGUCCCGCAACGAGCGCAACCCUUGUCAUUAGUUGCUACAUUCAGUUGGGCACCCUAAUGAGACUGCCGGUGACAAACCGGAGGAAGGUGGGGAUGACGUCAAGUCCUCAUGGCCCUUAUGGGUAGGGCCUCACACGUCAUACAAUGGCGCAUACAGAGGGUUGCCAACCCGCGAGGGGGAGCCAAUCCCAGAAAGUGCGUCGUAGUCCGGAUCGGAGUCUGCAACUCGACUCCGUGAAGUCGGAAUCGCUAGUAAUCGCGGAUCAGCAU